rnacentral:rRNA from 1 species
GGGGGGGUCAAAUUUGGACGCUGGCGGCAGGCCUAACACAUGCAAGUCGAACGGUAACAGGAAGCAGCUUGCUGCUUCGCUGACGAGUGGCGGACGGGUGAGUAAUGUCUGGGAAACUGCCUGAUGGAGGGGGAUAACUACUGGAAACGGUGGCUAAUACCGCAUAACGUCGCAAGACCAAAGAGGGGGACCUUCGGGCCUCUUGCCAUCAGAUGUGCCCAGAUGGGAUUAGCUUGUUGGUGAGGUAACGGCUCACCAAGGCGACGAUCCCUAGCUGGUCUGAGAGGAUGACCAGCCACACUGGAACUGAGACACGGUCCAGACUCCUACGGGAGGCAGCAGUGGGGAAUAUUGCACAAUGGGCGCAAGCCUGAUGCAGCCAUGCCGCGUGUAUGAAGAAGGCCUUCGGGUUGUAAAGUACUUUCAGCGGGGAGGAAGGUGUUGUGGUUAAUAACCGCAGCAAUUGACGUUACCCGCAGAAGAAGCACCGGCUAACUCCGUGCCAGCCGCCGCGGUAAUUA